GUGGGGAAUCUUGCGCAAUGGGCGAAAGCCUGACGCAGCCAUGCCGCGUGAAUGAUGAAGGUCUUAGGAUUGUAAAAUUCUUUCACCGGGGACGAUAAUGACGGUACCCGGAGAAGAAGCUCCGGCUAACUUCGUGCCAGCAGCCGCGGUAAUACGAAGGGGGCUAGCGUUGCUCGGAAUUACUGGGCGUAAAGGGCGCGUAGGCGGACAGCUUAGUCAGAGGUGAAAGCCCAGGGCUGAACCUUGGAAUUGCCUUUGAUACUGGGUGUCUUGAGUUUGGGAGAGGUGAGUGGAACUCCGAGUGUAGAGGUGAAAUUCGUAGAUAUUAGGAAGAACACCAGUGGCGAAGGCGGCUCACUGGUCCGGUACUGACGCUGAGGUGCGAAAGCGUGGGGAGCAAACAGGAUUAGAUACCCCAGUAGUCC
rnacentral:rRNA from 1 species